GAAAGAGAGAGAGGUACAGCAGCAGGUUCUUUCCCUGUUCCUCAAAGCAUCCUUCGGGUUGUUGGCACCGAAGAGAAUGUAAACAUUGGGUUCCUCCUGCUGGAGCACCUGCUGACAAAUUCCGUAAGGAGAAGUAUGUGAUUCCACACUAAUGUUUUGAAUCAGUUGGAGAUGUCUGCAGAGGGAUCCAUCUGUUGAGAUCUGCAAAACGAAGGUGAGUUACCUGGGUAAAAAGGAGAGAAAAUAACAUUCUAAGUAGAAGGAAAGUGUGCAAAUGCUGGUAGCAGGAGAGAGCAAGGCGAUUACCAGGGGCUGAAAGAAAGCCCGGAUGGCUGGAUGGCAAGUCCAAGGUGGUAGAGCAAGGUGAGGAG
rnacentral:lncRNA from 1 species